CUCGGGGCUUCUCGACAAAUUGGAAGGCCCCCUAACACCGGGCAUCCCUGACCACAGGGCAACAGUUAGCUGGGGCUGAGAAACAGCUGCUCCCUUCAAGGGUUCUAAUAUUCUGUAUCACGAAGACAGAAACUGAUGCUCACGGAAGCUAACUUCUCCAAGGCCACACAGCCAAGGUUUGAAUCCAGACGGUCUGGCUCCAGAACCCACACACUUGACCGCUCCACCGUACAGUCCCCAGCUGAGAGGAGACACUGGAAUUUAGAGCCGCAUUUUACAGCUGAAGAAACGAAGCCUAGGAAGAGUGAUUUCUGCCUUCUACACCUGGCACGCAUCUCUGCUGCUGUGGACAGGGCUUCAGCAAGGGUGAGAACUGACAGCUGCCGCCACUCCUCCCCGGCUCCCUACUGCUGAGCAGCCAAAGGGCUUGGGGUCUCCACCACCACCUCCACCACUGCUGG